GCCGGGGUGGCUUAGCCUGGUCAUAGCGCUCGGCUCAUAACCGAGAGGUCGCGGGUUCGGAUCCCGCCCCCGGCA
rnacentral:tRNA from 1 species